rnacentral:lncRNA from 1 species
GGAAACCAAGGAAGGUUUCAGGACAAAGGCAUGGACAGGAGAAAGCAUAUUCUUUGGGGGAAAAUAAGGAUGUUUGUAUAGCAAACAGCAUUGGAAGACAGAGAUUAUGUCUCCUUCUGAAGUGCUGGACAGCCACACUUAAACACAGUAUAAAAGAUUUGGGCUCCCUAAGCCCAGGGUUACUCUCCUGUAAUGAAAUCGAUUGUGUAUCCCCACAUCCAUCUGGGCCCAUCCAUGUCCCUGCUGUGAGAACUGGGGCAGAGGGGACUGAUGCAAACAUGCUGGUGCUCGUGCUGCUUGCUGUGCUGGAUCCAACUGGAUCUGUCUACAUCAACCGUGUGGGAUUCGGAGGCAAGGGGAGCCAACAUAAAUAUGAUGAUGCUCAUGCUGCUUACCGUGUGGUAAGUAAUAAACUCCUUUUUCUCUGAUCCAAGAGAUUUGUGUCUUAUACCCACAUCCAUUAAAAGAUAGCAGACUAACUUGUUAACUCACAUGCAGGAUAAAAUCCCAAACCCUCCACAUUUUUUGACAAUCCCCCUCUCCCUCCACCAACUCAACUCUUUGAAGGCAUGAAACAAGUUUCUGUUUGAUACAUAUAGACUGAACUUC